GAUGAAGAACGCAGCGAAAUGCGAUAAGUAAUGUGAAUUGCAGAAUUCAGUGAAUCAUCGAAUCUUUGAACGCACAUUGCGCCCUUUGGCAUUCCGAAGGGCACACCUGUCCGAGCGCCGUCGCACAACUGAGGCGCAGCCUUGCGUUGGCGGGCGACUUGUGAGUAGCGAGUCGCCGCCCUAACGAGACGGCGCCGCGCCGCGGCCGACGAAGCACGAAAGCGGAAGUCGACGCGGAGGCGGUUGCCUGUAGGAAGACACAGCUUGGCCUCGGAUCAGGUGGGGAUACCCGCUGAACUUAAGCAUAUCAAUAAGCGGAGGA
rnacentral:misc_RNA from 1 species